rnacentral:lncRNA from 1 species
AUGUGGGGAACAGGCCAGGGGCAGGACCCAGUCAUGCAGGGGUGCUGGCCCCAGGUUGUCUCCAGGCUGGCUUCCUCCCUGAUGCUGAAGGCACCUUCCCCUGAUCCCCGCACUUCCCAAACAGAAAUUCUUUCCCAAGAGCUGAGCACAGAUCCCCAGGGGAAAACACACCUGACUGCCUCUCACAGGAGCUCCUCCAUUAGAUUGCGUUGCUGGAAUAAAUGUUCUCCACCCCACUACCCUUCUCUAAGGAGUGCCACAAACCAGUGGCCUGCCUGGUUAUGCUUGUACCUGAUCCAAUCCACUGGCAGCGUUCCCCAAGUGACACAAAUACUACAGCAGAGGAGGAGAGGAAAAUAUCUCAAGCUGAGUGCAGUCGUCAAGAUGUCUGGGCAUUUACAAGAAGACAACAACAACAGCAACAUCAUAACAUGGCAGCAACCACUGGGAUUGCUUAGGACACCUCAGGGAGUGACAGAUACUUGCCCUCUCCCUGAGAAAAGGACACAAAUUAGCUGUUCAGUUUCCACUGCAUGGGAACUCUUCAGUGGAAAGAUAAAGUUUGAGACCAGAAGAAUCAUCAUGGCCAUCUUAUUUAUACCUCACGGUCUAUUCAGUUAUGUUUGCUACUUUGGUACAGUGACAUCAUGAAAUUAAUAAAAUGGGCUGAAGCACAUUUUCUAUAAAAGGA